GUUCAGGAUAACAUUCAGUUGGUUAGAGUGUGAUGCUGAGAACGCCAAGGUUGCAGGUUCGAUCCCUGCAUUGGGCA